rnacentral:rRNA from 1 species
GGCGAGUGAAGCGGCAACAGCUCAAAUUUGAAAUCUGGCCCUUUCAGGGUCCGAGUUGUAAUUUGCAGAGGGUGCUUUGGCGUUGGCGGCGGUCUAAGUUCCUUGGAACAGGACAUCGCAGAGGGUGAGAAUCCCGUAUGUGGUCGCAUGCCUUCGCCGUGUAAAGCCCCUUCGACGAGUCGAGUUGUUUGGGAAUGCAGCUCUAAAUGGGAGGUAAAUUUCUUCUAAAGCUAAAUACCGGCCAGAGACCGAUAGCGCACAAGUAGAGUGAUCGAAAGAUGAAAAGCACUUUGGAAAGAGAGUCAAACAGCACGUGAAAUUGUUGAAAGGGAAGCGCUUGCAGCCAGACUUGCCUGUAGUUGCUCACCCGGGCUUUUGCCCGGGGCACUCUUCUGCAGGCAGGCCAGCAUCAGUUUGGGCGGUCGGAUAAAGGCCUCUGUCACGUACUUCCUCUCGGGGUUGACAUAUAGGGGAGGCGCAAUGCGACCAGCCCGGACUGAGGUCCGCGCAUCUGCUAGGAUGCUGGCGUAAUGGCUGUAAGCGGCCCGUCUUGAAACACGGACCAAGGAGUCUAACAUCUAUGCGAGUGUUUGGGUGUCAAGCCCGAGCGCGCAAUGAAAGUGAACGGAGGUGGGAACCCCUCGGGGCGCACCAUCGACCGAUCCUGAUGUCUUCGGAUGGAUUUGAGUAAGAGCAUAGCUGUUGGGACCCGAAAGAUGGUGAACUAUGCUUGAAUAGGGUGAAGCCAGAGGAAA